rnacentral:rRNA from 1 species
CCUACGGGACGCAGCAGUGGGGAAUAUUGCACAAUGGGGGAAACCCUGAUGCAGCGACGCCGCGUGAGUGAAGAAGUAUUUCGGUAUGUAAAGCUCUGUCAGCAGGGAAGAAAAUGACGGUACCUGACCAAGAAGCCCCGGCUAACUACGUGCCAGCAGCCGCGGUAAUACGUAGGGGCAAGCGUUAUCCGGAUUUACUGGGUGUAAAGGGAGCGUAGACGGUAUGGCAAGUCUGAUGUGAAAACCCGGGGCUCAACCCCGGGACUGCAUUGGAAACUGUCGGACUAGAGUGUCGGAGAGGCAAG